rnacentral:lncRNA from 1 species
UGCUUGGAAAAGAAAGACAGCCAAGAACCAGGAGUUAACAGUGCGCUGACGACUGACGGGUGGACCAGGUGGAGCGACAGGAAUCCUCCUUGCUCUCCAGCGGAAAGGCCUUGGCGCCCCUGCAGGGUGCUAUCUUUUACAGUGGGUGGAUGCUUAGGCUCAGGGAGGCCAAACCCAGGACCAUGUGAAGAAAUUGUGUUCUUUAAAAGACAUAACAGAAACCAUGCCUGCACUUGACACCCUUGUGUUGACAUUUCUCGAGUGGACACGCCGGACUGCCCUUUACACAGCUUACCUCAUCUACUUCAAUGGAAAACCUGCCGUGUAGGUUUUCUCACUGCCACCCCCGCCCCCCGCCCCGCCCCCAAUUUCACAGGUGAGAAAACUGAGACUGACAGUGGUAGAAUAACUGAUGCAGGUGGAAGAGCUGGGAUUUAAGUCUAGCCCAGCGCUCCUCGCACAGCUGAUUUCAGGGUUCCUCUCCCUACCCUCUGUUUGUUCUGCCAUCUCUUUCUUCCCCCACUGCCUUGACCUUUGAUUGCUCCCCCAUCCUUUCUUUAUCUCUUUUCCUUUGCUUCAGAAUUCUUUCUCAUCUUCCAGCUCUCUGCCACUAUUUCAGCCCUUCCUUCCCUUCUUCUUUCCAUUUCUCCCUCCUCACUGUCCCUUUCUUUCUUCCCCUCCCUUUGUCCUCUUUUCCUUUUCCUCCCACUCUUCCAUUGUCCCUUAAUGUUUCUUCCUUUCACUCCUUGAUACACACAUAGGUGUGUAGAUAUUAUAUUAUUUUAUUUUAUUAUUCUUUUUUUAGGUGGAGUCUCACUCUGUCACCAGGCUGGGGUGCAGUGGCACAGUCUCGGCUCACUGCAACCUCUGCCCCCCCGGGUUCAAGCGAUUCUCCUGCC